rnacentral:lncRNA from 1 species
AAAGUAAUAGAAAACAGAGGGAGGGAAUGGAAGAGAAAGCGCAUUUGGAAGACGGGCAAUAGAAGACAAUUCGACAUCAAUUAUAUAUGUGCCACUCCUGAUGUCUGGAAGACCCACCUCUUGAUCAGAGCGAGGUCAGAGUCCUUCAGUUGGAGAAGCUUUGAAAGGAACAUCCUAAGAAGCAUAAAAGUGAAUCACGAGAGGAAGAGAAGUCUUUAUUUCUGGGAACUGGGAGUGAGAAGGAUGUUUGAACAGAGCUCCUGGGCUUGGAGGAGACUUGUGAAGGGAAAGCUGGCAACCUCUGCCUGGUGCCUUUUCCUUCUCUGCCUGCUUUUUGUUAUUUAAUAAAUAAUUAAAAAUUAAGCUACAGUCUCCAG